GUAUAAAUAAUUGACAUCUAUAGAAUACUAUAUGUUUUCCUGAAAGAAAGAAAAAAUACUAUAUGUUCUAUGUACAAAAUGGACACUAAAAGGAUAACUGUUGUCACAAUGAUAUUUUUAUUGGAAUUCUUCAUCCAUGCUUCAGAUAUGUGCAUGAAAUUAGAAGGAAAAGGAGUUGAAGGAACUCACCCUUGUAAAUAUGAUUCAGAUUGUCAGCCUGGUUGUCCUCCUAACACACAUGGAUGUUGUAUUCACGGGCGGUGUUGGUGUUUUAAUUCACCCAUUUUUGCUGAUAAAAUUCCUGGCCUAAUACCACAAGGAAAUUGUUUUAUACGCUAGAUACAUAAGAUUGGUCAUUGAGGUAUCAUCUCACUAGUAAAAGUGUGACCUUGUAAUAUCAAGUGAUGCAAAAAUAAAACCAUCUUAAAAAGAGGUGUAAAAUUAGUAAUUGAA